AGUGUCUGACUCCUGGAUCUGGGCUGACAGAGCCUAAGAAAGAAAUUAUUUCUUUGGAAAAAGACCAAGAACCUCACCCAGAUGCUCAAGGAACAUUGGAAUCUGGCUGUCUUGGGUUCCCCCUUGUGCCCCUCACCCCUCAAGGCUCUAAAGCCAGCCUGUGGUCCUUCUCCGGAGCGGCCAACUCAGAAGUAGCCCUCCGUGGUCUCCGCACCACCUGAGCUCCGGCCACAUGGCCUGAGUUGGAGUUCUGGCCUCUCCUUCGAGCAGUGAGUGAGUUUUGGAGAGUGCCCUAGACUCCUUCAGUAACUGUAAUAAACAUGAGCAGUGAGGCUGGGCAAGGUCUUUUGUCUCAUGGGCGAUGCCACUGGGGCACUUCCUCUUCUCUUAUAGUCAGGGCAGAGCAAGAGGGAACCUCAUCCCAUGGGGAACAGAGGCCUUCUCUCAAGCUGGGGCUGCAGAGGGGCUGAGACUCGUGCGAGGGUUUCUCCACACCCACUGGGAAGGGCAAGGGCAAGCUUCCGCACGGCCCUGGGGUGACAAGCCUGGGGUUAAAGGGGUAUCCCUGACUGAGACCCUUCUCCCAGCCGCCAUGGGCCAAAGCCAGCUCUUCUGCAGCCCCACUGCCAGAGGGAUCCAGGUUCGGUGUUUGUUCUGGGCUUUCACCUGGUGAGGACACCUUGCCAACGCCUCCUCAGGCCUCAGGGGACCCGCCCCUGCAACAAGGGAAACAGCCCUGAGGGUGGGGGAAAGGUAGGCCCCUCCCACAUCCGGUCUUCUCGCGCGUGCGCAAUUGCCCACGCAGAGCUCACCCCCGGCACCCACGCCCGAACUCGCUUCUCUGGUGUGCUGGGGCCUUCAAGGGUCAGCACCUCUUUUCAUGAGCAAACUCAGCCAUGGUAUGAGUGCUGGGAGAGCCACGCUUUCACUGCUGGGCUCAGGGUGCCCUCCCUAGCAGCUGCAGCCUGCAUGCCCGGCGUUCUUCCAGAGAGUUUCUGGAAAGUGGCUUCUGUCCAGCUCCAAGGUUGAUUCGCACCUGGAGGCCCCCUGACUUCUGCCCCUUUCUUAGCUAAGUGGCACAUGUCCACCGGUUUACUCCCACCACAGGGGACUGGAGGGCAGGUUCCGUAAAAAGGAGGUUGGACCCCCAAAUCCAACGUUGCUUCCUUUGCCCUGUGAUCCAGCACAGCUCUGUUCCCCUACAACCACACCCAGCAAGAGGGGGCUUCACUGGCCCUGCGCUCCCAGGCGCUGGAUAAAGGGACUUGCCCGUUUGACAAAGAGAUAACCCCUAGUCCACACUCAGGUUUGUAAGCUUAACCUCAUCUAAAGAAUGCUCUGGAAGGGUUCCAGGCUCUCCAAGGCACGAGGAGCUGCCAUUAGGCUGGGCGGUCAUGCGUAGCCCUUCACAUGAAAAUGCAGAAGAGGGUCUCUGGCCACGUUCAACCUAGGCGGGUCCGGGGCCUCGGGGGUGAACAUCUCCUUGCGUUUGUCCCAGGUGACAGGCAAAUGAGACCAAAGAAAAACUUGAAAGAGGAAACUGAUUUAAAACUCACAAAAAUAAAACAUUUCUAAAUAACAAAGCACUGCCUUUUCAUUGUUUAUCAGCUGAGGGUAUUUCAGGCAACUGAAGCUUUAGAGUUUUUCUUUUCAUCGUUUGUCAAAAGUUCAAAAUGAUACCCAGAGCUAUACAAUUUGUCUGUCGCUCCGGGCUUAUUG
ensembl:lncRNA